rnacentral:rRNA from 1 species
UGGGGAAUUUUGGACAAUGGGGGCAACCCUGAUCCAGCAAUGCCGCGUGUGUGAAGAAGGCCUUCGGGUUGUAAAGCACUUUUGUCCGGGAAGAAAUCCCCUGCCCUAAUACGGCGGGGGGAUGACGGUACCGGAAGAAUAAGCACCGGCUAACUACGUGCCAGCAGCCGCGGUAAUACGUAGGGUGCGAGCGUUAAUCGGAAUUACUGGGCGUAAAGCGUGCGCAGGCGGUGAUGUAAGACCGAUGUGAAAUCCCCGGGGCUCAACCUGGGAACUGCAUUGGUGACUGCAUUGCUCGAGUAUGGCAGAGGGGGGUGGAAUUCCACGUGUAGCAGUGAAAUGCGUAGAGAUGUGGAGGAACACCGAUGGCGAAGGCAGCCCCCUGGGCCAAUACUGACGCUCAUGCACGAAAGCGUGGGGGAGCAAACAGGAUUAGAUACCCUGGUAGUCCACGCCCUAAACGAUGUCAACUGGUUGUCGGGCCUUCAUUGGCUUGGUAACGUAGCUAACGCGUGAAGUUGACCGCCU